GACGUAGGGCGCGAGCGUUGUCCGGAUUUAUUGGGCGUAAAGAGCUCGUAGGCGGCUCGUUGCGUCGGCUGUGAAAACCCGGGGCUCAACUCCGGGCCUGCAGCCGAUACGGGCAGACUAGAGUUCGGCAGGGGAGACUGGAAUUCCUGGUGUAGCGGUGAAAUGCGCAGAUAUCAGGAGGAACACCGGUGGCGAAGGCGGGUCUCUGGGCCGAUACUGACGCUGAGGAGCGAAAGCGUGGGGAGCGAACAGG
rnacentral:rRNA from 1 species